rnacentral:tRNA from 1 species
GUGGGCGUGGCGGAAUUGGUAGACGCCGGGGACUUAAAAUCCCCUGAGCUUUGCUCGUGCGGGUUCGAGUCCCGCCGCCCGCACCA